GACGAACGCUGGCGGCGUGCUUAACACAUGCAAGUCGAACGGAAAGGCCCUGCUUUUGUGGGGUGCUCGAGUGGCGAACGGGUGAGUAACACGUGUGUAACCUGCCCUUGACUUUGGGAUAACUUCAGGAAACUGGGGCUAAUACCGGAUAGGAGCUCCUGCUGCAUGGUGGGGGUUGGAAAGUUUCGGCGGUUGGGGAUGGACUCGCGGCUUAUCAGCUUGUUGGUGGGGUAGUGGCUUACCAAGGCUUUGACGGGUAGCCGGCCUGAGAGGGUGGCCGGCCACAUUGGGACUGAGAUACGGCCCAGACUCCUACGGGAGGCAGCAGUGGGGAAUAUUGCACAAUGGGCGGAAGCCUGAUGCAGCAACGCCGCGUGCGGGAUGACGGCCUUCGGGUUGUAAACCGCUUUCGCCUGUGACGAAGCGUGAGUGACGGUAAUGGGUAAAGAAGCACCGGCUAACUACGUG
rnacentral:rRNA from 1 species